GACGAACGCUGGCGGCGUGCUUAACACAUGCAAGUCGAACGGAAAGGCCCUGCUUUUGUGGGGUGCUCGAGUGGCGAACGGGUGAGUAACACGUGAGUAACCUGCCCUUGACUUUGGGAUAACUUCAGGAAACUGGGGCUAAUACCGGAUAGGAGCUCCUGCUGCAUGGUGGGGGUUGGAAAGUUUCGGCGGUUGGGGAUGGACUCGCGGCUUAUCAUCUUGUUGGUGGGGUAGUGGCUUACCAAGGCUUUGACGGGUAGCCGGCCUGAGAGGGUGACCGGCCACAUUGGGACUGAGAUACAGCCCAUACUCCUACGGGAGGCAGCAGUGGGGAAUAUUGCACAAUGGGCGGAAGCCUGAUGCAGCAACGCCGCCUGCAGGAUGACGGCCUUCGGGUUGUAAACCGCUUUCGCCUGUGACGAAGCGUGAGUGACGGUAAUGGGUAAAGAAGCACCGGCUAACUACGUGUCAGCAGCCGCGGUGAUACUUAGGGUGCGAGCGUUGUCCGGAUUUUAUUGGGGCGUAAAGGGCUCGUAGGGGUUGAAUCGCCUCGGAAGGGUAUUCUAGGGGGUUAACCCUGAAGCGUGCUUUUCGAUACGGGGUGACUUGAGGAAGGUAGGGGGAAAUGGAAUUUCCUGGUGGAGCGGUGGAAAUGCGCCAGAUAUCAGGAGGAACACCAGUGGGGAAGGCGGUUCUUUGGGCCUUUCCUGAUGCUGAGGAGCGAAAAGCGUGGGGAGCGAACAGGUUUAGAUACCCUGGUAGUCCACGCUGUAAACGGUGGGUACUAGGUGUGGGGUCCAUUCCACGGGUUCCGUGCCGUAGCUAACGCUUUAAGUACCCCGCCUGGGGAGUACGGCCGCAAGGCUAAAACUCAAAGGAAUUGACGGGGCCCCGCACAAGCGGCGGAGCAUGCGGAUUAAUUUGAUGCAACGCGUAGAACCUUACCUGGGUUUGACAUGGAUCGGGAGUGCUCAGAGAUGGGUGUGCCUCUUUUGGGGUCGGUUCACAGGUGGUGCAUGGCUGUCGUCAGCUCGUGUCGUGAGAUGUUGGGUUAAGUCCCGCAACGAGCGCAACCCUUGUUCACUGUUGCCAGCACGUUAUGGUGGGGACUCAGUGGAGACCGCCGGGGUCAACUCGGAGGAAGGUGGGGAUGACGUCAAGUCAUCAUGCCCCUUAUGUCCAGGGCUUCACGCAUGCUACAAUGGCUGGUACAGAGAGUGGCGAGCCUGUGAGGGUGAGCGAAUCUCGGAAAGCCGGUCUCAGUUCGGAUUGGGGUCUGCAACUCGACCUCAUGAAGUCGGAGUCGCUAGUAAUCGCAGAUCAGCAACGCUGCGGUGAAUACGUUCCCGGGGCU
rnacentral:rRNA from 1 species